GAUGAACGCUAGCUACAGGCUUAACACAUGCAAGUCGAGGGGCAGCAUUGAGUGCUUGCUAAGGCCGAUGGCGACCGGCGCACGGGUGAGUAACACGUAUCCAACCUGCCGUCUACUCUUGGACAGCCUUCUGAAAGGAAGAUUAAUACAAGAUGGCAUCAUGAGUCCACAUGUUCACAUGAUUAAAGGUAUUCCGGUAGACGAUGGGGAUGCGUUCCAUUAGAUAGUAGGCGGGGUAACGGCCCACCUAGUCUUCGAUGGAUAGGGGUUCUGAGAGGAAGGUCCCCCACAUUGGAACUGAGACACGGUCCAAACUCCUACGGGAGGCAGCAGUGAGGAAUAUUGGUCAAUGGGCGAGAGCCUGAACCAGCCAAGUAGCGUGAAGGAUGACUGCCCUAUGGGUUGUAAACUUCUUUUAUAAAGGAAUAAAGUCGGGUAUGGAUACCCGUUUGCAUGUACUUUAUGAAUAAGGAUCGGCUAACUCCGUGCCAGCAGCCGCGGUAAUACGGAGGAUCCGAGCGUUAUCCGGAUUUAUUGGGUUUAAAGGGAGCGUAGAUGGAUGUUUAAGUCAGUUGUGAAAGUUUGCGGGCUCAACCGUAAAAUUGCAGUUGAUACUGGAUAUCUUGAGUGCAGUUGAGGCAGGCGGAAUUCGUGGUGUAGCGGUGAAAUGCUUAGAUAUCACGAAGAACUCCGAUUGCGAAGGCAGCCUGCUAAGCUGCAACUGACAUUGAGGCUCGAAAGUGUGGGUAUCAAACAGGAUUAGAUACCCUGGUAGUCCACACGGUAAACGAUGAAUACUCGCUGUUUGCGAUAUACAGCAAGCGGCCAAGCGAAAGCGUUAAGUAUUCCACCUGGGGAGUACGCCGGCAACGGUGAAACUCAAAGGAAUUGACGGGGGCCCGCACAAGCGGAGGAACAUGUGGUUUAAUUCGAUGAUACGCGAGGAACCUUACCCGGGCUUAAAUUGCAGAUGAAUUACGGUGAAAGCCGUAAGCCGCAAGGCAUCUGUGAAGGUGCUGCAUGGUUGUCGUCAGCUCGUGCCGUGAGGUGUCGGCUUAAGUGCCAUAACGAGCGCAACCCUUGUUGUCAGUUACUAACAGGUUCCGCUGAGGACUCUGACAAGACUGCCAUCGUAAGAUGUGAGGAAGGUGGGGAUGACGUCAAAUCAGCACGGCCCUUACGUCCGGGGCUACACACGUGUUACAAUGGGGGGUACAGAGGGCCGCUACCACGCGAGUGGAUGCCAAUCCCAAAAACCUCUCUCAGUUCGGACUGGAGUCUGCAACCCGACUCCACGAAGCUGGAUUCGCUAGUAAUCGCGCAUCAGCCACGGCGCGGUGAAUACGUUCCCGGGCCU
rnacentral:rRNA from 1 species